rnacentral:rRNA from 1 species
UACGAAGGGGGCUAGCGUUGCGCGGAAUCACUGGGCGUAAAGCGCACGUAGGCGGAUCGUUAAGUCAGGGGUGAAAUCCUGGAGCUCAACUCCAGAACUGCCUUUGAUACUGGCGACCUUGAGUUCGGGAGAGGUGAGUGGAACUGCGAGUGUAGAGGUGAAAUUCGUAGAUAUUCGCAAGAACACCAGUGGCGAAGGCGGCUCACUGGCCCGAUACUGACGCUGAGGUGCGAAAGCGUGGGGAGCAAACAGG